GACGAACGCUGGCGGCGUGCCUAAUACAUGCAAGUCGAGCGGGCCUCCGGAGGUGCUUGCACCUCCGGAAGGCCAGCGGCGGACGGGUGAGUAACACGUGGGCAACCUGCCUUUGAGGCCGGGAUAACACCGGGAAACCGGUACUAAUACCGGAUGCGUCCCCUUUCGCGCCUGCGAGAGGGGAGAAAGACGGUCUUUAAGGCCGUCGCUCAAAGAGGGGCCCGCGGCGCAUUAGCUGGUUGGUGGGGUAAGGGCCUACCAAGGCGACGAUGCGUUGCCGACCUGAGAGGGUGAUCGGCCACACUGGGACUGAGACACGGCCCAGACUCCUGCGGGAGGCAGCAGUAGGGAAUCAUCCGCAAUGGGCGAAAGCCUGACGGUGCAACGCCGCGUGAGUGAGGAAGGUUUUCGGAUCGUAAAGCUCUGUUGUGAGGGAAGAACAGCUUCCGGAGGAAAUGCCGGAGGUUUGCCGGUACCUCACCAGAAAGCCCCGGCUAACUACGUGCCAGCCGCCGCCGUAA
rnacentral:rRNA from 1 species